CGGCGACAGCGGCGACAACGGCGACAACGGCGACAACAGCGACAACGGCGACAGCAGCGACCCCUUGCCAUGGAAAGGGCCAAUCCCCAGGGAUGCUCUCCCCGGUGUCCCAGCCCCUGUUGUGCCUCACAAGCUCCUGCUCUGAGCCCGUGGAGCACUCCUGCGUGACUCGUGUGCCAUCCAAGGGUAACUGGAUCCCAGCACGCAGCAGCUCGUUAUUUUAGAAAAGCUAUCGUUAUUUGUGCAGCCGGACGAGGAAUCAUUCGCGAAAUGAGUGCAUUGUCCCGGUCAGACACGGGAACAGUCCUCUCCCCGCGUUCUGCACAGCGCUUGGUCUCAGGGAGCAAACCCGCUGCAGCAGCUCUGAGAGACAGAAAAACACAUUAAAAACCUGUCAGCUCAGCAAAAGGGAUCGGUGCAAGGUUUCUGGAACAGCAGCUACGAAAACGUGGGGCAGGAGAGGUUUGGCCAUGAGGGCACGACACAAAGUCCCCCAGGGAGAGCUGUUGGUAUGGAGAGUUUUCCAUGGAGAUAAAAUAAAACAAGCUCCCCUUCUCAGAUUCUUCCUCUCUGAUGCAGCAGAUGUGAAUUCACACUUUCUGCCUCAGGAUCAGCACUGCCAGCAGAAAGUUUCCUCUACCCAUCAAAAAAAACUCUUCAGUCUCUCAUCAACUCCAAGGCAAGAUCAGAUUACAAUUUAGUGCAUCUAGCAAUCGCUCCUCUGAGCUGGCACUGACAGUGUAAAUAAAGAUACUUUAUGUUAAAUAUGAAAUCAGCAUAAGCCCUGAACUCUGCAAUAAAAGAUUAGGUGGAUCAUCAAUAACAGUCAACUUAUGCUGACAGAAUUUUCCUAUGCUUUAUUCUUGGAAGUACUCUGUGAACUCCAUCCCACUUAAAAUGUGGGAAAUCUGGGCUAGGAAAGCAAUGUCACAGCAGAUUCUCAGUAACUGCAUGGUGGACCUGAGUGAUGGAAUUUCUGCACCAAAACAAAGAAAAAAAAGGCCUCCCAAAAAAACUUCCCCAGCUGCUCAGAGAUGAGGAAACCCAACCUGUCUUUCAACUUCACAGAAGCUGAACGUGCCAUGAAUAGCUUGAUCAGGUCUGAAUCACAGGUUGUACAGAACUUGGGACUAAAAUAGCUCUAUAAGCUUGCCUUACAACUGGCACAAAGAGCUUGCCUCACUCCUCACCUUUAUCUGAGAUCAAAUUGUUUAUCACAUUCCUUCCUCAUACGUCAGCUCCUUGUGAUGAAAGCUAGCCAGUGAUUAAUACAUUUUAUUAGGCUGGUUCCAGUGACUUGAAAUUAAUUUGCCCUGACUACUCAGGCUUGCUCCCACACCCACUGCCUGGCACUCCAGCCAUGCUAGGAAUGCACAAUAGAAAACAAAUUAUCUUAGGCGAUACCUCAUAAAUCUAUAGCAAUAAAAUUAACUGCACAACGGCUCCAAGCAGAAAUCAGCUUCAGGAGGCUUUUCCUCCCUUUCUCCAGGAGAAGAGAGCUAACCCAACAGCUUUAAAGCCCCAGAGAAAUCACUGCUCCCUUGUCUCUUGCACUCUUCUCUGUGCUCAGCUCAUCAAACAGAGCUGUAGAAGACAGAUAUGGAAAGCAGUCCAAACCCUUUUCAAUGUUAUAAUUACAAAGUGACAGAAUAAGAGGUUUUAUCCUGGUCUUGUUCACAUAGCUGUAAUCUGCCUUCUACUGCACCAGAUCACAGAUUCUAUCUGAAUUUACAGGCUGAAUUCUCUAUGUAUCCUUCUGCAGGCUAAAACCAAACACGUUGGAUAAAGGACGAGAAGACUUGAAUCAGCCUAGACACCGUCUGGCAGCAAACUAUACUUAACUAUUAACAAUAUCCUCUGUGCUAAUUACAGCUUGUCUUGGCUCGAGCGAGAGCUGCAAUUCCUUCGCCUUUGGCGUGAUGGGAGGCAGAUCAACUGUACAAAAAUCAGCACCGACUUAGAAGUGAUUCAGCACUGGAUGCUUUUUAUUUAAUUACUGAUUAGACUUGAGAACUGACUAGACAGCCAUGGCUUGUCUCAGUUGCAAGGCAUUGUUUGAGUUCCCGUCACAGCCGUCCACACAAGAUCUACAUGAUGAGACCUCACACCACGUUCUCUUCUAGCAGGUUUGUAGAUUAUGGAGAGACCUGGAAUUCAAAGGUCUGUUGACAUAAUGAGAUUAAUGUACGUGCUUUCUUCUUGCCCAUACACACGUGAGAAGUCAUUUUUAUUCAGACAGUUUACCGUCUCUCCACUCGUGGAUUUUGUACUUUUGUCAGGGUAGUUUAACUGGACUUUAAUGGAAAAUAAUUGAUCUGUCUCAGAAUUACUACAAUAAGGAAGGUUAGCACUGACAUUACCAGAUCCUGCAAUCGUAUUUGUGAUUAAAAUGAAAACAAGCUCCGUGAACACCUUUACGUUCAGGACACAGAGCCACAUCCUGGGAGGGAGACUUCAUACUUUUGUCUUGACCAAGGAUUGUUUGUGUAAUGUGUGAACAUCAGCAAACAUUGGUGUGGUUUGUGUGUUACAUCCGUGGGGUGCCAAGACCCCAGAAUCUCAGAAUGGCUGGGG